AAUAUAGGCAUGGACGCAGGCGUGGAGUGUUUUUUAGAUGAAAAGCAAUUAAUAAAUUUCCCUGAAGAAGACCUUUACCCAAAUAGGUCGAAACGUGUAGGGUUAUCAUGUGAAAUUCUACACAAGUUCUAUGGUUUUAAUAUAUAACUUGAGUUCAAGUAACAAUGAUUUUCCUAAAAAUGAGUCUUUCUUUAUUUGUAUCAUAAUAUCAAAUAUAGGCAUGGAUGCAGGCGUGGAGUGUUUUUAGAUGAAAAGCAAUUAAUAAAUUCCCCUGAAGAAGACCUUUACCCAAAUAGGUCGAAACGUGUAGGGUUAUCAUGUGAGAUUCUACACAAGUUCUGUGGUUUUAUAUAUAAUUUGAGUUCAAUGUGCAAUUUUCCUAUUGUUGAUGAGAUAUGUGUUUUAUGUCAAGGCCAGAAUUGCUUUUUACGACUCCUAUGCAUCCAUGCCCAUAUUUGAUACUAUGAUACAAAUGGAGAAAGACUAAUUUUGAAGGUUUUUUUUAGCAGCAAGAUGAUAUUAGAAACAAGUAACAAUGAUUUUCUUAAAAAUUAGUCUUUCUUUAUUUGUAUCAUGAUAUCAAAUAUAGGCAUGGACGCAGGCGUGGAGUGUUUUUAGAUGAAAAGCAAUUCCUGUGAAGAAGACAUUUACCCAAAUAGGUCGAAACGUGUAGGGUUAUAAUGUGAAAUUCUACACAAGUUCUAUGGUUUUAAUAUAUAACUUGAGUUCAUGUGUAAUUUUCCUAUUGUUGAUGAGGCGUGGAGUGUUUUUAGAUGAAAAGCAAUUCGUCUGGCUAUGGAAUGUAACUUUCUCAUCAAGAAGUGGUAAACAUACACAGUUAACUCCAUUAUAACAGAAUAUAAUGACUAUGCAAAAUAAUGAUACAUUCAUAGACAGUAUAAUUCAUAAUUUGUUUUUUUCUUUUUUGCAUAGAAUAAAUCCCCCUGAAGAAGACCUUUACCCAAAUAGGUCGAAACGUGUAGGGUUAUCAUGUGAAAUUCUACACAAGUUCUAUGGUUUUAUAUAUAAUUUGAGUUCAUGUGUAAUUUUCCUAUUGUUGAUGAGAUAUGUUUUUUUAUGUCAAGGCCAAGAAUUGCUUUUUACGACUCCUAUGCAUCCAUGCCUAUAUUUGAUACUAUGAUACAAAUGGAGAAAGACUAAUUUUGAAGUUUUUUUUUUUAGCAGCAAGAUGAUAUUGGAAACAAGUAACAAUGAUUUUCAUAAAAAUUUGUCUUUCUUUAUUUGUAUCAUAAUAUCAAAUAUAGGCAUGGACGCAGGCGUGCAGUGUUUUUUAGAUGAAAAGCAAUUAAUAAAUUCCCCUGAAGAAGACCAUUACCCAAAUAGGUCGAAACGUGUAGGGUUAUCAUGUGAAAUUCUACACAAGUUCUGUGGUUUUAUAUAUAACUUGAGAUGAGAUAUGGUUUUUAUGUCAAGGCCAAGUCAAGGCCAAGUCAAGGCCAAGAAUUGCUUUUUACGACUCCUAUGCAUCCAUGCCUAUAUUUGAUAUCAUGAUACAAAUAAAGAAAGACUAAUUUUUAAGAAAA